AAAACCAAGUAACUAUUAAAUAAUUUACGUUUGAAUAAAAGUAACCUAUGAUUGACUUCAUCAAAGGCUUUGCUGAAAUCGGUAUAAUUUAUAUCAGUUUAUUUGUUGUGAACAAACCCUAUAAUUACCUCUCAUAAAAAUUGGAUAAGAUUAGUAAUGGUUGAGAGUCUACUGCGGAAACCAUGUUGAAAUGGACUUAGAAAGAUAUGAUUUUAUGGGAAAUUACGUCAGUAAUUAAUUUUUCAAAUGGAAUGGCUGUCAAUUUUGCAAUUCCUCUAUAAUUGGAAACAUCUACUAAGCUGCCGGAUUAAUGUAGAUGAAGCAAAUACAAUUGUUUCCAAUCACAAGGGAAAUGACCAAAUUCAAGUGAAUAAUGGUACUGCAAUGUUAAAGGGACCUACAAGGUAUUUAAUAAUGGUAGAUGGAACCAGGAGUAUUCAGUACAAGAAGUCUAUGAAGAAGGUUGUAAGGAAGUAACUGAAAACACCAUGGCGGCCUCAUUAAAAACACAUUGCUACUGCCGAGGAGAUUUGUGCAAUAAAUCAAAUAAAAUUUUUAAUGUAAAAACUGUCAUUGUGAUAACUGCGCUUGGUGCACUUAUGAUAUGUUUCCAAAAUAAAUAUAUUUAAUGUGUGAAAGAAUCUCUACCCUAAACAUUGAGUUCUAUCGUAUGUCUUGGUACACAUUCGUAUUAAUAAUUGUGAAUAAAUGAAGUACAUGAGAUUAUUAUUUGUAAAAAUUUGGUAUUAUUUGUAUAAUUUCAUUUCACUUCAUUUUUUCAAAAAGAAGUCGUUCGAUGUAUAUAUCAAAUGAUUGUUCUCCACAGGUUCAUGAUAUCAGCCAUAUGGCCACAGAGGGUGUAUAUAAUUGGAUACAGCAAAAAUGUAAAAAAAUGCUGGUGCGCACAUUGAUCUUAAAAUAUAAUAAUAUGAAAGAAGUUGAAAGAAGACUCCGAUUAUCAAAUUUCAUAUUUCGCAUAUUCCUAAAAUUCUACCAACUCUAUAUAUUUUAUGGAGACGUGGUAGAUCGGACUACUCCUUGUACCUUCUACACAACGGGUUAAAAUGUUAAAUUCUAAUAACCCUCAUAAAAUGCAAAAAGAGCAUCCGACUGUUUGGUACAUCAUAAUAUUUCUACCAACGGUUAAUCCCUCACACAGUGUCAAAGUUUUGAAUAAUCAUAAUUCUUAUAAAAUCUAAUAAUUCUCGUAAAAUAUGAAAUGUCCGACCACCUUCAAAUUUCGCAUAUACCAAUAUUUCCACCAACCUUUAUACCUUAUACCGGACCACUCCAUUUCAUAUAUGGUCUGUCAAAUUUUAAUCUUUAAUAGCCGUAGGCCUGUCAUUUGAUUUAAAAAAAUUAGUUUGGUUGCAGAGAACGACACGCAAAAUAAUGCAGUUAUUCUCUAGAAAGCUUAAAUAUUUUACAACAAAAAACACCGAGGCUCAUUUUUUGUCCUAUGAAAAUCUGAUUUGAGAACAAAGGCGACAAAUAUCAUUUGGAAAUUUUUAUAAAGAACAUAUUUUUAUUUUUAUAUUUUCGUAGAACAAAAAUCCAGUCUCCGGUCAGUCUCCAACUUAGCUAUAUUUGUAAAAUGUACACAAGGAAACAUUAUCAGCAGCGAGGUUUCAAUAAUACGACCUCAACUUUUAUCAGCCAACUAGGGAUGCAUUAUGUGCGAUAUUAGAAUAUUUUAGAAGUUUAUAACGUUAUAUACAUGUUUAUAUCAUUCACAAAUUUUCAACAGCCGAAAGCCUAGAAACUGUCUAUCUGGCCAUCUUUGUUCCAUUUAGAUAACUUGAAUUAAAUUAGCGAAGGCACAAAUCAGAAACAGAUAAACAGAUCUGCAAUAAUAUUAUUUUUUUCUCAAAAGUACUCAUAUAUUACAACAAUGGUAAGAAACAUAUAAUUAAAAAAGUAUGUUUUCACUUAUUUAAAUAUUCGUCGUACUUCCUGGUGGGCGUUGUCGCAUAUACUUAGUUGUUUCUAGUUGUCCAGCAACAUCUUUCGGAGAGAGUAAAGUAGUUUCAUGUAGAAGUUUCAUGUAGAAGGUAAACAGACGAAAACCCUACAAAAAACUUGCAAGCAAUCAGAUGAUUUGUCAAAACAAAACAAUUUGUCCGUCAUAAAAAAAAUGAAAUACACAAAAAUUAAAAAUGAGUCGAAAAACAAAGCAAUUAGUUUCCUAAAUGAAGAUGUUUUUAAAUUGCUUGUCCAAAUAUAAAUCACCGGAAGAAGAAGGGUUGCAAGAGAUUACAAGAAGGAAUUUGUCCUGCGAGAAUUUGCAAAUUUUCAGUGAAAGAACUGUCAAAAAUUUUUUUUUUAAAUCGCCCUCUUGCAAAACUUUUGUGUUAACAGACGUGUGUACCAGAAUAAUUCUGCUGGAACAGGAAUCGACAAAUUCGAUGACUUGUAGGAAUUCUAUGUGCCAGGAUAACCUUGACCACCUGUGCCCCUGCUAGGAUAUUUCUGACAGGACAAUAUGGGUAUCACUGGAAAGCUUACGCAAAUUAAUUCAUACUCAAAUAUACGAUACGAUUAAAAAUCGCCA